UACGUAGGGCGCAAGCGUUAUUCGGAAUUACUGGGCGUAAAGCGUGCGCAGGCGGUUUGUUAAGUCCGUUGUGAAAGCCCCGAGCUCAACUUGGGAAUUGCAGUGGAUACUGGCAGGCUGGAGUACGGUAGAGGAAGGUGGAAUUCCCGGUGUAGCAGUGAAAUGCGUAGAUAUCGGGAGGAACACCAGUGGCGAAGGCGGCCUUCUGGACCAGUACUGACGCUCAUGCACGAAAGCGUGGGGAGCAAACAGG
rnacentral:rRNA from 1 species